GUCCCCGUAGCUCAGUUGGAUAGAGCAGCCGCCUCCUAAGCGGCAGGUCGGACGUUCAAAUCGUCUCGGGGACGCCA
rnacentral:tRNA from 1 species